rnacentral:rRNA from 1 species
GACGAACGCUGGCGGCGUGCUUAACACAUGCAAGUCGAGCGGAAAGGCCCUUCGGGGUACUCGAGCGGCGAACGGGUGAGUAACACGUGAGUAACACGUGGGCAAUCUGCCCUUCACUCUGGGACAAGCCCUGGAAACGGGGUCUAAUACCGGAUACAACACUCUCGGGCAUCCGAUGAGUGUGGAAAGCUCCGGCGGUG